UAAUCAUUUUUUGGAUUUGAUUAUUUCCUUUUUUUCGCGCAUCCCGACUUUGGACUUAGUUAAGUUAAUAAUCAUUGGAGGAAGCCAGAUCUGAUUUAGGGUUGUGUCCAUUUUUUAAUUUGCCUUUCCCAUAAGUUGAGAAAAAGGUAAAAACAGUGUAUUAGGGAUGUUGUAAUAAAUAAUUUAUUAUUUUCCGUGACCUU